AAUAGAAUUGAGAGAAAAAAAAAACAAAUAAACUCAUCACAAAUAAAGUUCUGAAAAAAACUUCUCGUGAUUUAAUGAUAAAAGAAAACAUAAAGGAAAAAAAGGAAAAAAGAAAAUAUUAAAAUUAAUAAAAAAAAUGACAUAUGUAGUAAAUGAAAUAAAUGGGAAGCGUAAAAAAAAAUUGUUAUAAUGGUGAUAAUGAAAAAAAAAAUGAAAUACUCUUCCAAUAAAAUGCAACAUACUGAUGUUGUGAAUAAUGAGUAUUAUUAUAGUUGUAAUAAUGCUUGUACACGUUAUUCGACUACAGCUACAACUACUACUACUACUACUAUUAUCACUAAUAAGGAUAAGUAUAUACGGAGUCCCGCGGGGAAGUCUAUAAAUAAACGAACAAACAAGUGUACAUAUGAUGUACCAACAACUUAUAUGUUAAACAAUAAUCGAAUGACUAAUGAAAAUGAAAAUGAAAAAAAAAAAAAAAUGAAAACUAUUAUAAAUGAUAUAUGCAAAAAAAAUAAUGUAGAAAAAUGUAAAGAUGGUAAUAAAAGUAAUAAAUACAGAAGUUCUAUUAGUCAUAGAUACACAAAUUUAUUGGAUUUGCAAAAUAAAAAUUUAUAUGACAUUGAUUUGUUUACUUAUUUUAAUGACUUAAAUGAUAAACAAAAAAAUGGUUCUGAUAGUAUGUUUUUAGAAUUUUUAUUAAAAGAGAUAGAAGAAUUGACAGAGGAUUCUCGACAGAUGAUAUGUGAUGAUGUAAUAGAUAGUGGUGACAUAGGUAAUGCAACUAGUAGCAUGGAUAAUAAUAAUAUAGACGGAUGUUAUGACCAUGAUAGUAACAAUAUGGGUGAACACAAUCAUUCUAAAACAAGGAACAAAAUGAAAAAUAAAAUAAACAUAAAAAAAGAGAUAGACUUAGAAAAUAAUACUAAUUUUGAUAAAAAUGAUUUAAAAAAUAUUUUUUUUUCUGAACCAAUAAAUAUAAAUUUUAACAAUCAAGGACUAACAAUUUUUCCUUUUAAAAGUAAAUAUGUUAUUGAAAAUGUAGAUACUAAUAUGAAUGAGAAAAAAAAAACGCCUAUUAGCGAAUGCUUUGUGCUGAAUAGCAAUAAAUAUGGUAAUAGAGAUGACGAUGGGGAUGAUAGUGAGGAGGUAGAAAAUAACAACAAUACAAACGCGCAUGGUGAGCUUAAAAAUAUUAAAAUACGUUUAUAUCGGAACAACAAACAGGUUUUAAGUUAUAUUAACAUUAAUGAUGUACAUAUGCCUAUUACCAAAGGUGUGAUAUGUUUUUUAUACUUUUUACUAUUAUGUAAAAAUCUAUAUAAUGGCCAUUCGGAAGAAAAAUGUAAUGAAAGAAUGUUGGAACGUAAAGACGACCAUGAUAAAAAAAAUAUUCAAAGGAGAGGAAGAAAAAAAAAUAAAAUUGAACAGAGUAAUAAUGAAACGAAUGAGCAGACUGGCAAAAGCAAAACGAUCAGCUUAAAUAUGAAAAACAUUUUAUCUAAAAUGAAUAAAGAUAUGACAAAAGAAUUAAGUAAAGGUAAUAUAUUUUUAAGUCUUUGCGCUCCAAUAAUUUAUUUGGACUUUAGUGAUAAGAUAGACAUAGUAAGUUUUUUUUUUUUUUUUUUAAAUAAAUUUAAACAAGGUACGACUAUAACUAACAAAGAAGACGCUGAUGAUAAGAAAAAGGACAAUGAAUAUAUAGUUAGUAAUAUAAAUGAUAAAAAUUUGUACAAACUAACUAGCAUGGAAGUAGAAGAAGAAAAACAAACUACCUCAUCUCCUAUACAUGGUAAUGAUGUAUAUAAUGAUCAUACACCAUAUGUUAUUAAAGAGCAAAAUAAAUUAUAUAGAUUAAUAAAUAAUUUUUUUUUGAAAUGCCAAAAAUGUUUUGAAGGUAGUUUACUGGCUAUUAGUGUAUGUGGGUAUUUAAAUGAUCCUAUGUUUUAUAUAUCAACGAAUAAAAAAAAUAAAAAUUUUAUAUUCGUUUAUUUUGUGUCACAACUGUUAAUUAAACCGAUAUAUAUAGAUAUAAUAGAAGUUAGUAAUGUUUGUAAAAAAGUAGAAUGGAUUAAAUUAGAAGAAAAUAAAAAAGAAAAAACAUAUAUAUAUCUUUUGUUAUGUUUAAUAGGUAAUGAGUUGAGAAUAUAUGGAUUGUCACAGUAUGAUUUUUUUUUAAAUUUGUACCUUUUUAUAAAAAAUGAUGGUAGUAGCAAUUGUAGUAGUAGUAGUAGUAGUAGUAGUAGUAGUAGUAGUAGUAGUAGUNNNNNNNNNNGUAGUAGUAGUAGUAGUAGUAGUAGUAGUAGUAGUAGUAGUAGUAGUAGUGGUAAAGAAAACAACACGAACCAUAUAGAGCACAUAAAACGAUGCAUUGAAAAACGGAAAUUUAAAAAAUUAUUUUCAUACAAAAGUAAAAAAAUGUUAAAUGACUUUUCAUACACCAUUUGCAUACAAAAUAAAAAAAGGUUUUUAAAAGUGGCCAUUUGUUUUAACGAUUAUAAAAUAGAAAUAAUUAAUCUUAGUUUAAAUGAAGUACUUCAAAAAAAAAAAAAAAUACAUACUAAUAAUAAUAAUAACUGUAGUAAACAAACGGAAACUAUAAAUGUGUCUUUGCAGGGCAGUGAUGACGCAAGUUCUCAUUUUUUUUCUUUUUUUAAAAAAAGCCCAUAUGUUUGUGCAGAUACUAGCACAUGCACCAGAACGUAUGAACGUAUAAGUAAUAGUGUAGAAUGUAGUAAAGAAGUCGAAUAUAGCUUUGUUACGAAUGUACAAAAUAUUAAGAAAAAAAACGCCGAACGGAAAAACGAUAUUGAUGAUAAAUGGGAUACGGAAGAACAUGUAAAUAAUAAGUGUAACAUAAGCAAACAAAAAAAUCAAGUAAUUCAGAAAAAAAGAGGGAGAGGAAGACCAAGGAAGGACGAAGUUAAACAAAGAGAUGAACCAAAUAACAUACCAAUAGAAGAAGUCGUAACAAUAGAAGAAGUUGUACCAAUAAAAGAAGUCUUACCAAUAGGAGAAGUCGUACCAAUAAAAGAAGUGGUACCAAUAAAAGAAGUGGUACCAAUAAANNNNNNNNNNGUACCAAUAAAAGAAGUGGUACCAAUAAAAGAAGUGGUACCAAUAAAGGAAGUCGUACCGGUAGAAAAAAUCCUACCAGUAGAAGAAGCGAAUUUUAUGUUACAUUUUAUGACUGAUUGUAUAAAUACUUUCUCCCAAUACCAUAAAAAAAUUAUGUGUUCAGAAAAAUAUGAACUAUGCGUGAAUAAAGAUUACAUACUUUUACAACAAGGUGUGUUAUCUCUAUGUUCGUUUUACCCAUGUAUUAAUUCAUUUCUUUUAUGUUUAAGCACAAAAGAAGGUGAUAUUAUAAUAAUUGAUAUAAGAAAUAAUAGUGAGUUAUUUUAUUUUAAAAGAAAAACAGAAAGUAUAACUCAUUUAAAAUGGUAUAAUAUAAACUGUAUAGUUUUCGGACAAGAGAAAGGUUGUAUGUUGGAUUUAUUUUGUAACCAUAAUUUUUUAAAUGUUGAUAAAAUAUGGAACAGUAAAAUAGAGUUAAUAUGUUUACAUAGUUCUAUAAUUAAUGAUAAUUAUAUUUAUUUGUUUGAUGAUGGUAGUAUAAUAAAAGGUACUUUCAAAUUAGGUAAACACAAAGGCAAACCAAAGGAAAUUAUUUGUUGGAAUAUAAAUAAAACAACAACGUUAACAAAUACUGAAGAUAAUAAUGAAUUAUUAUUAAAAAUUACCUGUAUAGAAAACGUAAGAAUAAAAUCCGUUUAUUUAUUACUAUUAUAUGAUUACUUACAAGGGUUGAAUCAUAUAUUUAAUAAUGGUAUUAACAUAACAAAGCUUCCUACAUAUAAGCCAGAUUUAAGUAGUAGUAGUAGUAGUAGUAGACAUAAUAUAGCCUUGACGCCUCGAUCAGUAUCGAUUGGAAACUUUGGAAAAAAUUAUGUGGCAGCUUAUGGGAAUUCGUGUGGUUUAAUUCACAUUUU
ensembl:lncRNA